rnacentral:rRNA from 1 species
GAUGAACGCUGGCGGCGUGCCUAAUACAUGCAAGUCGAGCGAACGGACGAGAAGCUUGCUUCUCUGAUGUUAGCGGCGGACGGGUGAGUAACACGUGGAUAACCUACCUAUAAGACUGGGAUAACUUCGGGAAACCGGGGCUAAUACCGGAUAAUAUUUUGAACCGCAUGGUUCAAAAGUGAAAGACGGUCUUGCUGUCACUUAUAGAUGGAUCCGCGCUGCAUUAGCUAGUUGGUAAGGUAACGGCUUACCAAGGCAACGAUGCAUAGCCGACCUGAGAGGGUGAUCGGCCACACUGGAGCUGAGACACGGUCCAGACUCCUACGGGAGGCAGCAGUAGGGAAUCUUCCGCAAUGGGCGAAAGCCUGACGGAGCAACGCCGCGUGAGUGAUGAAGGUCUUCGGAUCGUAAAACUCUGUUAUUAGGGAAGAACAUAUGUGUAAGUAACUGUGCACAUCUUGACGGUACCUAAGCAGAAAGCCACGGCUAACUACGU